GGGGUUGUGGCUCAGUGGUAAAGCACUUGCUUAGCAUGUAUGAGGCAAUAGGUUCAAUUCUCAGCACCA
rnacentral:tRNA from 1 species